rnacentral:sRNA from 1 species
GUCAGAUGAUCACGAACUGACUUCACCCCCUUGUGUGGCAGCGAAAAACAUGACAUUCAACAAAAGCGAGGAAAAAAACUUCAACAGUGUCUGCAACAACAAUUUCUCACGGUCGAGCAACAAAUGCAACAGCAAAAAACACCUGAACAAUCCAAUAAUAAAGGACAAAGAUGUUGGCGGGGUUCCCAUCCGAAAGAAGUUCAAUCAUUCAAGUUGGUCACUCUCUGCAGAUGAAGAUUACAUAGUGUUUUGCUUUGGAAAGGAUGUGACACAAGAAAACAAAGAAGUCAAAGAUCUCAAUCUCAGAAGUUCAAGACCGGUGAACAGAAAGCUGAAAUAUGGUACGGAUGAAGAACAAGACAGUGUUUGGAACAUUCAUGACAAAAGUUCAAACUUUAGCCAGCAUCGUAAUGAUGAACAUGAUGGAGCUUCUGUAGUUCACUACCACCACCCUCAACUAUCCUUGCAUGGAAAGGAACGAGUGAUGGUACAAAUGGGCACACAGAAACAAAGGGACAGCAUAAAAAGGGCGUGUCACGUUGAGGGAAUUGAAGAAUCUGCAGAAUCGAGAAACUCUGACCAAUCUGAGAGCAGUAGAAGUUCUUUUGCCUUCCCUGUACUAUCUUGGGAAUGGAUUGGAAGCCCUGUACAAAUGCCAAAAUCAUCAGGUUUGCACCUGAGGAAGC